rnacentral:rRNA from 1 species
UACGAAGGGGGCUAGCGUUGCUCGGAAUGACUGGGCGUAAAGGGCGCGUAGGCGGCCUGCUAAGUCGAACGUGAAAUCCCUGGGCUCAACCCAGGAACUGCGUCCGAUACUGGAAGGCUUGAAUCCGGGAGAGGGAUGCGGAAUUCCAGGUGUAGCGGUGAAAUGCGUAGAUAUCUGGAGGAACACCGGUGGCGAAGGCGGCAUCCUGGACCGGUAUUGACGCUGAGGCGCGAAAGCCAGGGGAGCAAACGGG